rnacentral:rRNA from 1 species
UACGUAGGGUGCGAGCGUUUGUCCGGAAUUAUUGGGCGUAAAGAGCUCGUAGGCGGUGUGUCGCGUCGGCCGUGAAAACCUGCAGCUUAACUGUGGGCGUGCGGUCGAUACGGGCAUCACUGGAGUUCGGCAGGGGAGACUGGAAUUCCUGGUGUAGCGGUGAAAUGCGCAGAUAUCAGGAGGAACACCGGUGGCGAAGGCGGGUCUCUGGGCCGAUACAGACGUGAGGAGCGAAAGCGUGGGGAGCGAACAGG